rnacentral:rRNA from 1 species
AUUCCAGCUCCAAGAGCGUAUAUUAAAGUUGCUGCGGUUAAAAAGCUCGUAGUUGGAUUUCAGUCUAGGAAGGUUAACUCGCCGAAAGGUUGUACGUUGAUUUUCCUCAGACUUCGUCAGAAGCUCGUGCUGCACUUAACUGUGUGGUACGAUGUUCUGACCUUUUACCUUGAGGAAAGUAGAGUGUUUCAGGCAGGCUACCCAGCUUGAAUACAUUAGCAUGGAAUAAUGAAAUGGAUCUCGGUUCGAUUUCGUUGGUUCUAGAACAGGCGAAGGUAUGCGUACUUGAGAGUGAGGAGUGAAAUCCGAUGAUCUCUUAAAGACGAUCCGAGGCGAAAGCAUUUGUCAAGGAUGUUUUCAUCA